rnacentral:rRNA from 1 species
UACGGAGGAGGCAAGCGUUAUCCGGAAUUAUUGGGCGUAAAGCGUCCGCAGGUGGCACUUCAAGUCUGUCGUCAAAGACUGGGGCUUAACCCUGGAAAGGCGGUGGAAACUGAAGCGCUAGAGUGCGGUAGGGGUAGAGGGAAUUCCCGGUGUAGCGGUGAAAUGCGUAGAGAUCGGGAGGAACACCGAAGGCAAAGGCAGUGUCCUGGCGAGUGACUGACGCUGAGGUGCGAAAGCCAGGGGAGCGAACGGG